rnacentral:rRNA from 1 species
UACGGAGGGUGCGAGCGUUGUCCGGAAUCAUUGGGCGUAAAGGGCGCGUAGGUGGCCCGGUCAGUUCGUGGUGAAAGCGCGGGGCUCAACCCUGCGUCGGCCAUGAAUACUGCCGCGGCUGGAGCACUGUAGAGGCAGGCGGAAUUCCGGGUGUAGCGGUGGAAUGCGUAGAGAUCCGGAAGAACACCUGAGGCGAAGGCGGCUUGCUGGGCAUGAUCUGACGCUGAGGCGCGAAAGCGUGGGGAGCAAACAGG